CAAGAUGUAUUUAAUAAAUAAUAUAAACUUUGGGAGUUUAAGUUAAGUGUAAACUUUUUCUUGA
rnacentral:tRNA from 1 species